AAUAUUGGAAAUUUAAAAAAUAUUAAAAAUAUAAAUUCAAAUAAACAACAUAAUUAAUCUUUAGGCUCGAAUUAAGAUACAUACAAAAACCCAUAUCCGAGUUAAUUUAGUACCUUCAGUCAAAGCAUAUCAAAUGGUUCGAGCGAUCAGCACCAGCUUCAAGCCUUUAAACGACAAUAGGAGAUGGUCUGAUGAGUGCACUGAGCUGCUUUCGGCAGUCAAGAACCCUCACUUCACAAUAUCAAGCAAACGACAAUACUAGACACCCUUCUUGAUGCCAUGCUCACUUCCCCUUUCACCAGGCAAUAGGUGAUUUUAAUAUAAAUAUAAUAUGUGGUUGUUUUUUUACCUCGGCUUUGAAAUUUGAUAUACAAAAGAGUAUAUAUAUUUAACACAGUUGCUAUCAGGAUGUAAAUUCAAGAGCAUUUUCC
rnacentral:lncRNA from 1 species